GGCCAUAUUACAUUGAAACACGGGUUCCCGUACGAUCAGCGCAGUUAAGCAACGCGAGCUUGUUAGUACCUAGAUGGGUGACCGCUUGGGAAUACCAGGUGUUGUAA